AUACGUAGGGGGCGAGCGUUGUCCGGAAUGAUUGGGCGUAAAGGGCGCGUAGGCGGCCCGGUAAGUCUGGAGUGAAAGUCCUGUUUUUAAGAUGGGAAUUGCUUUGGAUACUGUCGGGCUUGAGUGCAGGAGAGGUAAGUGGAAUUCCCAGUGUAGCGGUGAAAUGCGUAGAGAUUGGGAGGAACACCAGUGGCGAAGGCGACUUACUGGACUGUAACUGACGCUGAGGCGCGAAAGUGUGGGGAUCGAACAGGAUUAGAUACCCCGGUAGUCCUGGCCGUAAACGAUGGGUACUAGGUGUGGGAGGUAUCGACUCCUUCCGUGCCGGAGUUAACACAAUAAGUACCCCGCCUGGGGAGUACGGCCGCAAGGCUUAAACUCAAAGGAAUUGACGGGG
rnacentral:rRNA from 1 species